rnacentral:rRNA from 1 species
AACGAACGCUGGCGGCGUGCUUAACACAUGCAAGUCGAGCGGUAAGGCCCCUUCGGGGGUACACGAGCGGCGAACGGGUGAGUAACACGUGGGUGACCUGCCCUCAGCUCUGGGAUAAGCCUGGGAAACUGGGUCUAAUACCGGAUAUGACUCCAUGACGCAUGUCGUGGGGUGGAAAGCCUUGUGCGGCUGGGGGAUGGGCCCCCGGCCUAUCAGCUUGUUGGUGGGGUGAUGGCCACCAAGGCGACGACGGGUAGCCGGCCUGAGAGGGCGACCGGCCACACUGGGGACUGAGACACGGCCCAGACUCCUACGGGAGGCAGCAGUGGGGAAUUGUUCGCAAUGGGCGCAAGCCUGACGACGCAACGCCGCGUGGAGGAUGAAGAUCUUCGGGUCGUAAACUCCUGUCGAAUGGGACGAAUGGGUUGCGGGGUAACAUCCCGCGACCGUGACGGUACCGUUAAAGGAAACCCGGCUAACUCCGUGCCAGCAGCCGCCGUAAG